AUGAUGUUAAUUUAUAUUGUUUUAAAAAGAGGUAAUGACUUUAAAAUAAUGCUAAAUAGGAUUACAC